CCCUUAGAUGUUCUGGGCCGCACGCGUGCUACACUGAGUGGAUCAGCGGGUCAGGUUGCGCGAAAGUGUUUCCUAAUCUUGAAAUCCGCUCGUGAUGGGGAUUGACGGUUGCAAUUUUCCGUCAUGAACGAGGAAUACCUUGUAAGCGCGGGUCAUCAUCCCGCGCUGAAUACGUCCCUGCCCUUUGUACACACCGCCCGUCGCUCCUACCGAUUGAGUGGUCCGGUGAGGUUUUGGGAUCUGAGCGGAAAGAGCGUUUCGCUGUUUCUGCUCGGAAAACUCAGUCGAACCUUAUCAUUUAGAGGAAGGAGAAGUCGUAACA
rnacentral:rRNA from 1 species